rnacentral:tRNA from 1 species
GGAGGGGUGGCAGAGUGGUCGAAUGCAACGGUCUUGAAAACCGUCAGGCCCGCAAGGGUCUCGGGGGUUCGAAUCCCCCUCUCUCCGCCA